CCUUGUAAACCAACAAAGACAGUGCAGAGCAUCCUCCAUUUUGUAUCCUUGCGGAGGCCAUUUCAGGUUUAACCAGAGUUUCAUCUACUUGAUGGAGAAUCCCUCCCUGUAGCAGUUCUGGAACUACAGCCACAUGCCAGUAUGCACAGUUUAACGUGGGCUCUGGAGAUUUGAGCUCAAAUUUCCAUGCUUGCACUGGACUCUCCCCAGCCUGGACUUCGAAUGUCAGCUGGAAGGCUCUCAGAGCUUGGAGAUUUGACGUCCAUGGCCAGAUUGCCUUUCCUGCUGACUGAUGCUCGAGAAACUUCAACAUGCCUGACAGCCCCACACUGCCAACAGACGUCUUCCCAAAGACAUCUCAAACAGCAAACAAGGGCUGGAACGGUGGCUCAGUGGUUAAGAGCAUUUGCUGCCCUUGUAGAGGACCUGGGUUUGGUUUCCAGUGCUCAUCUGAUGGCUCGCAACAAUUCACAAUCCCAGCUUCAGGGGAUCGAAUGCUCUCUUCUGGCCUCCGUGGGCAUCAGAAACACACAUGCUGGACAUAGAUGCAUGUAGCUCAAACAGUCAU
ensembl:lncRNA